rnacentral:rRNA from 1 species
AACGAACGCUGGCGGCAUGCCUAACACAUGCAAGUCGAACGAGACCUCCGGGCUUAGGGGCGCACGGGUGCGUAACGCGUGGGAACCUGCCCUUAGGUUCGGAACAACUCCCCGUAAGGGGUGCUAAUACCGGAUAAUGUCUUCGGACCAAAGAUCUAUCGCUUUUGGAUGGGCCCGCGUUGGUUUGGCUGGUUGGUAGGGUACAAGCCUACCAAGGCGAGGUUCCAGAGCUGGUCUGAGAGGAUGACCAACCACACUGGGACUGAGACACGGCCCAGACUCGUACGGGAGGCGGGGGAGGGUAAUAUUGGGGGAUGAGCGAAAGCCUGAUCCAGCAAUGCGGGGUGAGUGGUGAAGGGCUUAGGAUUGUAAAGCUCUUUUACCCGGGAUGUUAGUGACGGUACCGGGAGAAUAAGCACCGGCUAACUCCGUG